CUAGCAUCUAGCAGCAGCAGAGACAUAUUAGGGAUGGUAUGUUUUUUACUUUUUUUUUUUUUUUUUUUUUUGAGACACUGUCUCACUAUGUAGUUCAGGCUUGAACUCCCUGUGUAGCCCAGGCUGGCCUUGAACUCAGCAGUGAUCCUCCUGCUGGGAUUCUAGGCAUGUGCCACACGCCCAGCAGAGGGAGCUCUCAGGAGAGGAUGACAGUCGGCCAGGCGUGGGCUCAAGGCACAGCAGGAGGAGCGACAGCAGUCGGGAGGCGGCCCACUGCCUGGAUCCACCCUACCCCUCCACUCCUCCUGGUGCCAGCACUCACUGGCACCUAAACUGUCACCAGAAGAUGUGCCAAUCUCCGCGUGGCGUCAUCUCUACCCCAACAAGCUCAAACGUGGAAAGCCAACAGCGGGAGCAA
rnacentral:lncRNA from 1 species